rnacentral:rRNA from 1 species
AGUGAACGCUGGCGGCGUGCUUAACACAUGCAAGUCGAACGAGUAAGUGCUGUAGCAAUACAGAUUACUGCUAGUGGCAGACGGGUGAGUAAUACAUGGGAAUCUACCUUGAAGUCUGGGAUAACUGUUGGAAACGACAGCUAAUACCGGAUAUUGCCGAGAGGUGAAAGUUUUUCGCUUCAAGAUGAGCCCAUGCAAGAUUAGCUAGUUGGUAGGGUAAUGGCCUACCAAGGCGAAGAUCUUUAGCUGGUCUAAGAGGAUGAUCAGCCACACUGGAACUGAGACACGGUCCAGACUCCUACGGGAGGCAGCAGUGGGGAAUAUUGGACAAUGGGCGAAAGCCUGAUCCAGCGACGCCGCGUGAGUGAUGAAGGCCUUCGGGUUGUAAAGCUCUUUCAGUAGGGAAGAUAAUGACGGUACCUACAGAAGAAGCUCCGGCUAACUUCGUGCCAGCCGCCGCCGUAA